rnacentral:rRNA from 4 species
CCAUUUAAAGUGGUACGCGAGCUGGGUUUAGAACGUCGUGAGACAGUUCGGUCCCUAUCUGCCGUGGGCGCUGGAGAACUGAGGGGGGCUGCUCCUAGUACGAGAGGACCGGAGUGGACGCAUCACUGGUGUUCGGGUUGUCAUGCCAAUGGCACUGCCCGGUAGCUAAAUGCGGAAGAGAUAAGUGCUGAAAGCAUCUAAGCACGAAACUUGCCCCGAGAUGAGUUCUCCCUGAGACUUAGAGUCUCCUGAAGGAACGUUGAAGACGACGACGUUGAUAGGCCGGGUGUGUAAGCGCAGCGAUGCGUUGAGCUAACCGGUACUAAUGAACCGUGAGGCUUAACCUUACAACGCCGAAG